UACGAAGGGGGCUAACGUUGUUCGGAAUCACUGGGCGUAAAGCGCACGUAGGCGGACUUUCAAGUCAGGGGUGAAAUCCCGGAGCUCAACUUCGGAAUUGCCUUUGAUACUGUUGGUCUCGAGUCCGGAAGAGGUGGGUGGAAUUCCUAGCGUAGAGGUGAAAUUCGUAGAUAUUAGGAAGAACACCGGUGGCGAAGGCGGCCCACUGGUCCGGUACUGACGCUGAGGUGCGAAAGCGUGGGGAGCAAACAGG
rnacentral:rRNA from 1 species